rnacentral:lncRNA from 1 species
GUAAACUGCACUCUAAAAGGUUGCACGCAGUACCAAUGGCAGCAGAACUGAGUGCAAGUGUGUGGAGAGCACAUGUUAAGCAAGAUAAAACAGCAUGCAGAAAGGCUUUUUCCUGUCUCUACACAGACACAACCUUCCAUAAUGGCUCAUAGAUGCUUAAGUGAGCAGCAAAACAAGCAGUUUA